rnacentral:rRNA from 1 species
GACGAACGCUGGCGGCGUGCUUAACACAUGCAAGUCGAACGGAAAGGCCCUGCUUUUGUGGGGUGCUCGAGUGGCGAACGGGUGAGUAACACGUGAGUAACCUGCCCUUGACUUUGGGAUAACUUCAGGAAACUGGGGCUAAUACCGGAUAGGAGCUCCUGCUGCAUGGUGGGGGUUGGAAAGUUUUGGCGGUUGGGGAUGGACUCGCGGCUUAUCAGCUUGUUGGUGGGGUAGUGGCUUACCAAGGCUUUGACGGGUAGCCGGCCUGAGAGGGUGACCGGCCACAUUGGGACUGAGAUACGGCCCAGACUCCUACGGGAGGCAGCAGUGGGGAAUAUUGCACAAUGGGCGGAAGCCUGAUGCAGCAACGCCGCGUGCGGGAUGACGGCCUUCGGGUUGUAAACCGCUUUCGCCUGUGACGAAGCGUGAGUGACGGUAAUGGGUAAAGAAGCACCGGCUAACUACGUGCCAGCAGCCGCGGUGAUACGUAGGGUGCGAGCGUUGUCCGGAUUUAUUGGGCGUAAAGGGCUCGUAGGUGGUUGAUCGCGUCGGAAGUGUAAUCUUGGGGCUUAACCCUGAGCGUGCUUUCGAUACGGGUUGACUUGAGGAAGGUAGGGGAGAAUGGAAUUCCUGGUGGAGCGGUGGAAUGCGCAGAUAUCAGGAGGAACACCAGUGGCGAAGGCGGUUCUCUGGGCCUUUCCUGACGCUGAGGAGCGGAAGCGUGGGGAGCGAACAGGCUUAGAUACCCUGGUAGUCCACGCUGUAAACGGUGGGUACUAGGUGUGGGGUCCAUUCCACGGGUUCCGUGCCGUAGCUAACGCUUUAAGUACCCCGCCUGGGGAGUACGGCCGCAAGGCUAAAACUCAAAGGAAUUGACGGGGCCCCGCACAAGCGGCGGAGCAUGCGGAUUAAUUCGAUGCAACGCGUAGAACCUUACCUGGGUUUGACAUGGAUCGGGAGUGCUCAGAGAUGGGUGUGCCUCUUUUGGGGUCGGUUCACAGGUGGUGCAUGGCUGUCGUCAGCUCGUGUCGUGAGAUGUUGGGUUAAGUCCCGCAACGAGCGCAACCCUUGUUCACUGUUGCCAGCACGUUAUGGUGGGGACUCAGUGGAGACCGCCGGGGUCAACUCGGAGGAAGGUGGGGAUGACGUCAAGUCAUCAUGCCCCUUAUGUCCAGGGCUUCACGCAUGCUACAAUGGCUGGUACAGAGAGUGGCGAGCCUGUGAGGGUGAGCGAAUCUCGGAAAGCCGGUCUCAGUUCGGAUUGGGGUCUGCAACUCGACCUCAUGAAGUCGGAGUCGCUAGUAAUCGCAGAUCAGCAACGCUGCGGUGAAUACGUUCCCGGG